rnacentral:lncRNA from 1 species
CUCUUUUGAAGCUUGUUGAACUUGGUGGUUGGAGUCACUAGAUAAUAGUAUAGCUACAAGCUUUAUUUUUCUCUUCAUAGUCUUGUAUUUAGUCUCAACUUUAACUUCAUAAUCUUGAAAUGCACAUAUGAUUAAAUAAAAUUUUCUUGAAUAUAUAUGCACUACUUGAUCUUCAUCCCCUUGCUUAGCUUUUAUAAGUCCAUCCAAAAAAUCCUCUAAACCUAUCUCUAUAUAUACACCUACUAUUGUAUCA